rnacentral:rRNA from 1 species
ACUAAUCCUAGCCCACCCCAAAUUAAACUUAACCACUCGAUACAGAUAAAUCAAAACAUUUAUUGUACUAACACUAGUAUAGGUGAUAGAAAGUCUAUUAUGGCGCUAUAGAGAGAGUACCGUAAGGGAAACAUGAAAGAAUAAUUAAAAGUAAUAAACAGCAAAGCUUACCCCUUGUACCUUUUGCAUAAUGAUUUAACUAGACUAAGCUUGGCAAAAAGAGUUUCAGUUAAGCAUCCCGAAACCAGACGAGCUACCCACGAGCAGCUUUACAGAGCAAAGUCAUCUAUGUGGCAAAAUAGUGAUAAGACUUAUGGGUAGAGGUGAAAAGCCUAACGAGCCUGGUGAUAGCUGGUUGUCCAGAACAGAAUUUUAGUUCUAACCUAAGCUUGCCUACAAAACAAAAAAUAAAAAUGUAAACUUAGGUAAUAGUCAAAAAGGGUACAGCCUUUUUGAAAUAGGUUACAACCUUCAUUAGAGAGUAAGAAAACAAAGAACCAUAGUUGGCCUAAAAGCAGCCAUCAAUUAAGAAAGCGUUCAAGCUCAACAACAACAACCCACCUUAAUCCCACAAACCAACAAUCAACUCCUAACCUAAUACUGGACUAUUCUAUUAAGUAAUAGAAGAGAUACUGUUAAUAUGAGUAACAAGAAUCUAUUCUCCAUGCACAACUAUAUAUCAGAACGAAUACAUCGCUGAUAGUUAACAAAACUAAAACUUACUUAAAAUAAUUAAUACAUUUAUAGACCAAAUUGUUAACCCAACACAGGAGUGCAAUCAUACGGAAAGAUUAAAAAAAGUAAAAGGAACUCGGCAAACACAAACCCCGCCUGUUUACCAAAAACAUCACCUCUGGCAUUAAUAGUAUCAGAGGCACUGCCUGCCCAGUGACACUAGUUCAACGGCCGCGGUAUCCUGACCGUGCAAAGGUAGCAUAAUCACUUGUUCUCUAAAUAGGGACUUGUAUGAAUGGCCACACGAGGGUUUAACUGUCUCUUACUUUUGAUCAGUGAAAUUGACCUUCCCGUGAAGAGGCGGGAAUACAAUAAUAAGACGAGAAGACCCUAUGGAGCUUCAAUUAACCAGGUUAUGAAAAUUAAAAUUCUCUUCCUACAGGAAACAACCACACAUUUCCAAUAAUCUGGCAAUUUAGGUUGGGGUGACCUCGGAAUAUAAAAAAACUUCCGAGUGAUUUCAGUCUAGACCCACAAGUCGACACAACAUAUCACUUAUUGAUCCAAAUCAUUGAUCAACGGAACAAGUUACCCUAGGGAUAACAGCGCAAUCCUAUUCUAGAGUCCAUAUCGACAAUAGGGUUUACGACCUCGAUGUUGGAUCAGGACAUCCUAAUGGUGCAGCAGCUAUUAAUGGUUCGUUUGUUCAACGAUUAAAGUCCUACGUGAUCUGAGUUCAGACCGGAGCAAUCCAGGUCGGUUUCUAUCUAUUAUAAGCCCUCCCCAGUACGAAAGGACAAGAAGGGCAAGGCCCACUUGAGACAAGCGCCUUCAUGACUAAAAGAUGAUAUUAUCUCAAUCUAGUAGUAAUUAAAUAAUACCAAGCCCAAGAAAAGGGCGG